UACGGAGGAUGCAAGCGUUAUCCGGAAUGAUUGGGCGUAAAGCGUCCGCAGGUGGCGAUGUAAGUCUGCUGUUAAAGAGUGAGGCUCAACCUCAUAAGAGCAGUGGAAACUACAUAGCUAGAGUACGUUCGGGGCAGAGGGAAUUCCUGGUGUAGCGGUGAAAUGCGUAGAUAUUGGGAAGAACACCGGUGGCGAAAGCGCCUUGCUGGGUCUGCACUGACACUGAGGGACGAAAGCUAGGGGAGCGAAAGGG
rnacentral:rRNA from 1 species